rnacentral:rRNA from 1 species
GACGAACGCUGGCGGCGUGCUUAACACAUGCAAGUCGAACGGGCCUGUCUUCUUUUUUGGGGGGUGGGUUGAGUGGCGAACGAGUGAGUAUCACGUGAGUAACCUGCCCUUCGGUCCUGGAUAACCGCUUGAAAGGGCGGCUAAUACGGUGUGGUCCGGUUGGUCCGCAUGGGCUGGUCGGGAUAGAUUCACUGUUUUUGGUGUUUCGGCGGGGGAUGGGCUCGCGGGCUAUCAGCUUGUGGGUGGGGUGAUGGCCUUCGCGGGCGGGGACGGGUAGCCGGCAUGAGGGGGUGGGCGGCGACAGGGGGACUGGGAUACGGCGCAGACACCUGCGGGAGGCAGCAGUGGGGGGGAUUGCAGAAGGGGCGGAAGCCUGAUGCGGCGACGUCGCGUGAGGGAUGGAGGCGUUCGGGUUGUGAACCUCUGGGUCCGGUGGUGAAGGCCCUGUCCGUGUGGUGGGGUUGACGGUAGCCGGGGAUGAAGCGCCGGCUAACUACGUG